AUACUUACCUGGCAGGGGAGAUAC
rnacentral:piRNA from 3 species